GACGAACGCUGGCGGCGUGCCUAAUACAUGCAAGUCGAGCGGACAAAUGGGAGCUUGCUCCCUGAAGUCAGCGGCGGACGGGUGAGUAACACGUGGGCAACCUGCCUGUAAGACUGGGAUAACUUCGGGAAACCGGAGCUAAUACCGGAUACAUUCCUUCCUCGCAUGAGGAAAGAUGGAAAGAUGGUUUCGGCUAUCACUUACAGAUGGGCCCGCGGCGCAUUAGCUAGUUGGUGGGGUAAUGGCUCACCAAGGCGACGAUGCGUAGCCGACCUGAGAGGGAGAUCGGCCACACUGGGACUGAGACACGGCCCAGACGCCUACGGGAGGCAGCAGUAGGGAAUCUUCCGCAAUGGACGAAAGUCUGACGGAGCAACGCCGCGUGAGCGAAGAAGGUCUUCGGGUCGUAAAGCUCUGUUGUCAGGGAAGAACAAGUGCCAGAGUAACUGCUGGCACCUUGACGGUACCUGACCAGAAAGCCACGGCUAACUACGUGCCAGCCGCCGCUGUAACAC
rnacentral:rRNA from 1 species